rnacentral:rRNA from 1 species
AAUUUUUGCGGAGAGUUUGAUCCUGGCUCAGGAUGAACGCUGGCGGCGUGCCUAAUACAUGCAAGUCGAACGAAGAGCUUUUGUAGUAAUACAGAGGUUUCUUAGUGGCGAACGGGUGAGUAACGCGUUGGUGACCUACCCCAAAGUGUGGGAUAACAGUCCGAAAGGAUUGCUAAUACCUCAUGUGGCCUUCGGAAUUAGAAACCGAUUUCUAAAGGAGUAAUCCGCUUUGGGAGGGGCCUGCGUCCCA